UACGGGGGGGGCAAGCGUUGUUCGGAAUUACUGGGCGUAAAGGGCUCGUAGGUGGCCAACUAAGUCAGACGUGAAAUCACCAGGCUUAACCUGGGAACUGCGUCUGAUACUGGAUGGCUUGAAUUCGGGAGAGGGAUGCAGAAUUCCAGGUGUAGCGGUGAAAUGCGUAGAUAUCUGGAGGAAUACCAGUGGCGAAGGCGGCUCACUGGCCCGGUACUGACGCUGAGGCACGAAAGCGUGGGGAGCAAACAGG
rnacentral:rRNA from 1 species